GCAGGCUGUGCAGCACUGCCAGCAGCAGUAGACCCAGUAUGUCACUAUACUAUUACUAUGUGGUAUGUGUGUGUCACUGCCCAAUGGCAAUGUUUUGUUGGGCGCACAAAUCUCCCAGUUGGAAUCGUGGCCAUCCUAUCUCGUGGCCCAUCUCGUGGACACGACAGACAACAGAGCCUCUCAGACUAGGGACCAAACAGUGGUGGUUGAUAUGGGGCAGCCUCUAGCCCAGUCUACUCUACUCUAGUCUCUAGGCCAUCCGAUGGUGCAACAUCUCCAGCUGGACCACAAUCACGUAAUGCGGAAUCGGCAACGUGCGGUGAAGUUUUAAAAAGGUGCAGUUCGGGUCCCAACGGACCUGACAUCCCAACAGAAAGGUCAAUUGCCACUGGACGAUGACUCUGUGGCCAUGCGCCAUUCUGGCAAUCAGUGUGAUCACCACGCACAUUGCCUUCUGAAAAGGGUCAUGAUCGUGCGGCAGGGAUCGAAUUCUUAGAAAACAACAUUGCAGCGCUGGCAGGCGAGAUUGUUUCGUGUCCCGUGCGCAGUGGGUGGACAAGAUAUGCACGAAUGGGAGUCGCCUCCUCCUGCUAGAGCUUGAGGUGAUAACGUUAUUCGGAUUAAUCAUCUCGCCAUCCCACAACGAUAGAAUCGCUCGAGAGCAGGUGGCAGACUCGGAAAUCGGUAGUGGCAUACGUACCCAUGGGAAUUAUGAUACACAUAAUAGUAAUACUGUAUUACCAUAUUCCCUCCCAUCCAAGACAGCGUCAGUAGGAGAAUGAUGUCAUUGCAAUUUGCAUGAUGUAAUUGUAAUUUCGGUGUGAACGAUUACCAACCAUGCCAUGACAUAACAAUCACAAACACCCAUAUUGCCCUGGCCAUUGGAGUAUGACCUUCAAAGCACUCGCUAUUGAUCAUGAAAAGAAGCUGAGCAACGAUUUCGCGACGCUGUGUGGACGCAAAGGUUGUUACACGCAAAGUCACAAACCGUUGCCUUUGUCAGACCAGUUUGGCGGUGAUCCUUUCUCCAUGCACUCACCAUCCCUUGCUGCACACACAUACAACAACGAAUGACUCAAUCAUCUCAUGGCCGCUGCUCGUCAAACACACAAAACUCCUCACCAGGGAAUCACCAAGUCCAGAAACUCUUUCGCUCCAAGCAAGCCAACGCACAGCAUCAUUUGUCUAAAGGUUUCGCCAGACAUGGCGUUAGCCCAAGCUUCCAUACCCUUGUCGUUUGAUCAGGGUGCUGGCCAUGUGAAAAACUGCUUCUAACAAAUAUUUGCUAAUCUCGGCAGCUGUUCUCACUUUGCCCACUAGUCAUGAUUAGAUUAUCCUGCAAUCCUGUUUCGAGUUGCAAUGAACGUGUUAUUUACUCGUUGAGGGAAUGGAAAAGGAAACAACAUUCUGGAAUUGUUUCUUGUUGCCGAUGUCUUCCGACGAUGUCCUUCGUUGCCAAUGUCCGUGCUCUAGCUCUGGAAUUGCGCUCGUAACGAUGCCAUGGCAAUUUUCAGAUGGGACCAGUCGACACUGAGCGAGCUUCAACAUCCGCUGGUCAUGAUCGCAGGUCAAACUAAUCGAUGUUGCUACAUUGCUCUUCGCGACCAGUGGGGACUGAGUUAAACACAGUGCCCCACCAUAGCCUCCUUCUCGUCCGCCAUGACUGGCUCAGGGCAACGAUUCCUUGGUUCAAACGACGGACUGCCUCGCCCAAGGCAGCUGAUCGACUGGAAGGCAGAACCCCAAAGGCUUUCACGCACCUCCUUGCUGAUGUUUCCCCACAUUAACUGAGCCCCUUCAGAGGAUUGCUGAUCGGAGUGAUUAUUCAGUUCGAGUUGCAGUUACUGCAAGAUCGGUGCAAGACCCAAAGCACGAACAAGGGUAGCAGCCAUGGCGUUGGUAGUCUGUACAAGAGGACAACCGUGCAGCCGCAGCCCAGCGAUCAACAGGAGAGAAUUCCAGAACAGAAAUAGCGCUGAUCCGAAUCGUCACCUCCAUCCUUGCCUGGACAUCAGCCCACGGCUCGAAGUUUGUUUCGAGGCUCGUCAUAAGAUUCAGAUGUGAUGCGGAGCCCUAUAGUCGUUAGGGUAUAAAACCAGCUGAAAACAGUAUUAUUUGAAACUCGGAUGUUGAGCCAUAAAUAAAUGUGGAAAGGAAAAGGAUCGAUAUAUGGAUACGAGUUAAGAGUAACUCUCCAUCACUGUAACUUGUCAGUUUUGUGCCUAGUUAUUGCACUUUCUGACUGUAUAUAGUAUCCAGUUACAGUGAUGGAGAGUUACUCUUAACUUGUAUCCAUAUGUCCUUUUCCUUUCCACAUUACAGUAUUACUGGUACAAUCUCUAUUUCUGUCUUCUCUAGGGGGAUGACUAGGAAAAUUGUGGGCCUCACGCAACUGCAUUAUAAAGACAAGUGAGUUUGCCAACUAACAAUCGCUAUGUUCAGUUGUUAUUUGUUAUUCUGCUAUUCAGUAAAUUCUAUCGCUAUUCUGUAAAGAGAUAGCUCUUCAAUCGCUUCUGCUGUUGAUGAUCUGCGCCAGAAAGUGGCAGAAACACAAUCAUGUGAAAUGCACUCUAGCCUACUUGCUACUUCGCUAUUUCCUUCACUUAUUAUGUUUUGGAGUGGGUGUGAUACUGAUGCUCCGGCUUCUCGCCUGAACUGAACGUGUGAAACGGAAUAGCAUAGCUCCAUAUUCGAGCAUGAAUGUGCCAUGAAGAUAGAUAUAGUACAUGGUGUACUUCUACUUAUGAUGUUACAAUGUAGUUCGUGCACUACAUGUUGUGGCUUUGUUUUCGCGAUGAAUGAUACUGGAGUAUAAUUUAUUUUUUUUAUUUUUUU